AGUAAUUACAGUGACAUUUU
rnacentral:snRNA from 1 species